UGAAAAAACGAAUAAUUGGAGAGGAGUUGUGACUGCGCUUUGAUGGAAAGCUUAAUAUAUAGGUUGCAUUUGCAAUGGCUUUCUCGUUGUCUUGGUUGUUCCUGGUGUUGAUUGUGUGGAGCUCAGUUUGUAAAGGAUCAGAUACAAUAUCAGCAGGUGAAUCUCUGUUUGUCUGCUCCUGCCAACUCCAGCAACUAUUAUGUUGGAAUAUGGUACAAAUCCAUACCAAUACAAACAGUGAGGCGGUGAACUUUUCAUUAAGCAAAACAGUACGACAACGCUAUGGAGGAGUGAAAUUUGGCCAUCAUUCUAUCCUGUUAGCAGCCUUUACAAUUUCUCCUUUGUCGACAGGGCAUUUUUGACAUACAAAGUUAAGAAUGAAUCCUCAGUGGUUAGGGUUGUCUUAAGCUAUUCUGGCGUGAUUAUUCAUUUCUUGUGGCAGGAGAGCAGUCAGGCAUGGGUUUUUUUAGCUAUCCAACCUGCUGAUUCCUGUAAAGUGUUUGCUAGGUGUAGAAGAAUGAAACCUCUGCAGUGUGAUGAGGACAAAACGGAGUUCAUGAAGCUGACCAACAUUAGGUUUCCUGCAUAUGCUCAAACUCUGGAAAUUGCAAUGAAAGGUGUUUGCGAGUUUGUGUGCAGAGCCAAUUGCUCGUGCACUGCUUAUGCCAACGGUAGUGGAGGAGGAUGUUUAUUGUUUACGGGGACUUGAUUGAUUCAGAGAGGAUGCCGGAUGAUUCAGGUAUAACGCUGUAUGUCAGAAUGAGCCGCGACGCCCCUCCUAU